UACGGGGGGGCAAGCGUUGUUCGGAAUUACUGGGCGUAAAGGGCUCGUAGGCGGCCAACUAAGUCGGAUGUGAAAUCCCCAGGCUUAACCUGGGAAUUGCAUCCGAUACUGGAUGGCUUGAAUCCGGGAGAGGGAUGCGGAAUUCCAGGUGUAGCGGUGAAAUGCGUAGAGAUCGGGAGGAACACCAGAGGCGAAGGCGGCUCACUGGACAGUCACUGACACUCAACUGCGAAAGCGUGGGGAGCAAACAGG
rnacentral:rRNA from 1 species